rnacentral:rRNA from 1 species
GACGAACGCUGGCGGCGUGCCUAACACAUGCAAGUCGAGCGAGUGAAUCUCCUUCGGGAGUGAAGCUAGCGGCGGUCGGGAGAGUAACACGUGGGCAACCUGCCUCAUAGAGGGGAAUAGCCUUUCGAAAGGAAGAUUAAUACCGCAUAAGAUUGUAGCUUCGCAUGAAGUAGCAAUUAAAGGAGCAAUCCGCUAUGAGAUGGGCCCGCGGCGCAUUAGCUAGUUGGUGAGGUAACGGCUCACCAAGGCGACGAUGCGUAGCCGACCUGAGAGGGUGAUCGGCCACAUUGGGACUGAGACACGGCCCAGACUCCUACGGGAGGCAGCAGUGGGGAAUAUUGCACAAUGGGGGAAACCCUGAUGCAGCAACGCCGCGUGAGUGAUGACGGCCUUCGGGUUGUAAAGCUCUGUCUUCAGGGACGAUAAUGACGGUACCUGAGGAGGAAGCCACGGCUAACUACGUGCCAGCAGCCGCCGUAACAC